ACCAUGGCUCCAGCUGGAUAUGUAGCAAAGGAUGGCCUUGUCAGUCAUCAGUGGGAGGAGAGGCCCUUGGUCCUGUGAAGGUUUUAUGCUCCAGUGUAGGGGAAUGCCAGGACCAGGAAGCAUGAGUGGGUGGAUUGGUGACCAUGGGAGUUUUCAGAGGGGAAACCAGAAAAGGGGAUAACAUUUGAAAUGUAAAUAAAGAAGAUAUCUAAUAAAAAAAAAUCAUGGCCUCCUUUUAAAAUUGUUAUUGCAUGCCUAUAUGCAUCUCUCUCUCUCUCUCUCCCCUCUCUCUCUCAUCUACUCUCUAUCUACCUAUCUGCCUGUCUGCCUAUCUAUCUAUCUAUCUAUCUAUCUAUCUUUCUAUCAUCUACUAUCUCUCUACCUACUAUCUAUCAUCUCUCUCCUCUCUAUCUUUCUAUCAUCUACUAUCUACCUAUCUACUAUCUACUAUCGAUCCAUCUACCUAUCUACUAUCUAUCUAUCUAUCUAUCUAUCUAUCUCUAUCUAUCUAUCUAUCUAUCUAUCUAUCUAUCUAUCUAUAUCUAGUUCUACCCUACUGAGUCCAUAUAAUGUUGCUUCCAUGUGUGAUUUUAGAGCUGACUGGCAUAGAACAACCAAAAUGUUGUAUGAACAACCAUUUAGCACUGCAUAUAUGGGUAGUACUAAUUAUUUUUUAUUUCCACCUGACUAUCUAGUUCCAACAUAACUUGUUGAAAAUUCUCUUUUCUUUACUGAAUUACUAAGGCAGUCUUGUGAAAAUCAAAAAAGGUGUUUAUGUGUCUUUGCAUACUAUCCAAUUGUCUUAUGUGCACGUUCAUACUGAUACAAGUGUUUUUUGAUCAGGAUAUUUCUUUUAUAUUAAGAUUUAUAGUACAGUGUGACUUUCUGUAACUUUUCUAUUUUCAGUAUUUUAAAUUUGUUAUUUUCCAAUAUAUAGUUUUAAAUCAAUUAAUUUAUGCAAUAGAAUCCUGUUAAACAUUUGAUUGGCAUUGUAUUAAGUCCAUAUAUCAUUUUGAAUUUUUAAAAAUGUUUUUGCUUGAUUAAAAUUUCUAAAAAUAUUAAUACAUAAAAUUACAUGAAAUUC
rnacentral:lncRNA from 1 species